AUGGGAUCAGAUACGAUCUGGGAUGUCAAGGAUAAGAUUCAAGACAUGGAGGGCAUCCCUGCAGGCCAGCAAAAACUCUUGUUGGGCAGCUGUACCCUUGAAGACUACAAUAUCAAGGAGGAGUCCACCCUCACCCUUGACCUUUCCCCGCAGAUGCACAUCUUUGUGAAGACAUUGACUGACAAGAUCAUGACUAUUGAGGUUGAGCAAGCAGACACCAUAGACAGUGUGAAGGCAAAGAUUUUUGAUGAAACCGGUAUUUGCCCAGGGAGACAGCAUCUCGUCUUUGCUGGGAAUGAGCUGGAGGAUAGCUGCACCUUGGCUGACUACAACGUGCAAAAUGAAUCUACCCUUCAUAUCGUGCUUCGCUUCAGGUGUCAGAGAGGUGGGAUGCAUAUCUUUGUCAGGACACUGACUGAUAAGAUCAUGACUACUGAGGUUGAGGGAGAAGAUAGCAUAUACAGUGUGAAGGCAAAGGUUUUUGAUGAAACCGGCGUUCCCCCUGGCAGACAGCGUCUCAUCUUUGCUGGGAAGCAGCUGGAGGAUGUCCGCACAUUGGCUGACUACGGCGUGCAAGAUGAAUCUACCCUUCAUGUUGUGUUUCGCGGCCUCACGUGGCAGAGAGGUGGGAUGCGCAUCUCUGUCAGGACGUCGGCUGGGAAGAAAGUCAUUGAACAUGCGUAUAAGCGCAGGCAGACCAUUGACAACAUCAAAGCGUGGAUCUACUCUGAGUUGUGCAUUCUCCCGGAGCAGCAGCAGCUCUCUGACCAGGGUGGCCGAAGAGAUCUGUCGUUCUGCAAAUCUGUCCUGGUCGGUGAGACGGAUGUAAAUUGGUCCUUGACUGAUGGUGGAAAUUGUGGGAUCGCAGAGUCGGUAGAGGCUGAACUUGAAGGGCUGGUUUAG
rnacentral:rRNA from 1 species